rnacentral:piRNA from 1 species
UNCAGGUGUAAAUGACUACAUAUGUUGCCC